rnacentral:lncRNA from 1 species
CGAGAUCCCUGAACAGGUGGGUCUGAUAGCUUUUGUUUAACUUUGUUUCCUUUGGAAACACCAUCAGGCAGAUAUAAGAAGUUGUCUAGGCAUCUUGCACUACGUUGCAGACAUGCCGUACACAAGAUCGCGUCAGGGGCGCAACAAGCCCUUCUCGGAUGACUUCUGGCAACAGUUCGAUGCAGGUGGUAGGGUUAUUAGGAGGGUUCUUAAGUACGUGGCGAAGGGGAAGCUUGGUAACGGUCUGACCUUCAUCAGUCUGUUUCAUAGGUCGGUUACCCUGUGAUGAGAGGGUCCCCUGUUACCUCUAACUGACCAUGACCUCAAAGCCUUGUGUUACCAGGAAUGGAAGCAUUAUAUUACGCAAUGGAUGGCUACAAGCACCUUGUUGCUUUGGAAGUACAGCAAAUUACCCAGGGCGUAAGAUUUCUUAUGGAAGAGCAGCUGCUGAAGCUCAACCUGGAAAUGGACAACUUGAGAAUCGAAUGCAGGUCAAAAACGUCGGAUGACUUUCUAGGUAAGAACCUGCAGAGGAUUGCUCUGGCAGGAACUGGUCACAAAUGCCUGUGAGGGUUCUUCCCCUGCUCCACAUUGUUGUUGGGACGCGAGAUUGAGCAGCCUCUUAUUGUCCUGUGGCUGGGAACAGCUCUUAUUCUUGCACAAUACCUGACACUUGAUGCCGAACUUACAAGUCAGGAUACUUUCGGGUAUGUUCUGUGAGAUGAUACAGGCAGUCGUUGCCAAUGGACCUCAAUAUGGUGCCUUGGUGCAGAUGCAUGCACUGAGGAGGUGCAUUGGCGGAUCCAGAUCCGCACAUAUAGUGCCC